ensembl:lncRNA
UCUUCUCCUACAUUUUCACAAACAUUUUUUUAUUUUUCAGAAAUGCAAAGGACAGUAAUGUAAAUAUUCCCUGCUGGAGUCUUUUGAAGCAGAGGAGGAAAAAAAAAGAUGUGAUCAGGGAUGCAAGAAAGAAAAAUGGCGGCUUCACAAUGAAAGGAUGCAAUUAGCGACGUUAAACGAGCGGCUCGGAGCCGAGGCAGUGGGGAAAAAGGAGAAGGAGAAGGUGAGAGAGAGACAGACAGACAGAGAAAUGGAUGGAGGAAGAGAGACGGAGGUACAUAGGCCACACAUCCUUCACUGCAAUUGAUAAGCACACAGGCCACGCCUCCUUCGCUGAGACUGACAAGCACACAGGCCACGCCUCCUUCACUAUCUCUGACAAGAACACAAGCCACACCUCCUUCACUAAGUCUUAUAGUAUGCGUAUCCUGGGCCGAACAGCACUAACGUUCUCAAAGCAGGAUAUCACGUUUGUCUUUACAUGGCUAACGGAUCGGGCCAUGACCUUCGGCUGCCACCUGGAACAACAAAACACACACACACACACGCUUGGCAAAGAGAGAGCAGAGUGUGUUUAAAGCAAUGGGUUGUGUGACCAGUGCCAGCAUACUUCAGCAGCCUGAGAUUUAAACACCUGAGACAAAGUAGUAUGGAAGCAGGAGGCUUGGACACACACACACACACACACACACACACACACACACACACACACACACACACACACACACACACACAGAUCCAUAGGGCAGCUGGGGGUUGUUUAGGAUAGUAGAAAUGAGACACACACACACACACACACACACACACACACACACACACACACAGAGUCUUGUUCAGUAGUAGUGACAGAGCAGUGUCAGCUCUUUUCAGAUUCAUGCUCAUGUUCAGAGCUAUAUGACCCUGGGGUCCACACAGUGGUCACACACACACACACACACACACACACACACACACACACACACACACACACACACACACACACACAGAGACAUAAGGCACAGACUAUGUAAACCUGAGGUAAAUCUAUUUUUACUCCUUUUUUUCUUGUUACACUUACCGAGUAUUUAGCACAUUUUUAUGUCACUCGGAUGAUUACUUUAACACAAAGCUAAUGCUAAACUUAAGUGUCAUGUGUUUAGUGUCUUUACAAAAAUGAUUUCAUAUCUUCACAUAAACAGAAUGAGAUGUUUAGAAUUUCCUUUCUUGUAACUUUGAGUUCAAGCGCUGUUGUCUUUUCUCAAUAUAGCAAAAUCCAGUGAAGUUAACGGUUACUGCUAAGAGGAUUUUUUUGGUCAUUUUAUACAGUGUAGAAUCUGUCAUCACAUCUGAGGAAAAUGUUGACAUUGUCGCUAAUUUCGCCUCAUUUCUACCAUCACUUUGCCUUUCCUUUGUCCUUAACAAAAGAUUUCACAGCAAAUAAUAAUGAGUUAAAUGCUUUACCUCAGUCAUUAGCUAGGUUCUUUUUGGUAAACAUGUUUUCUGGUCGCCUAGCAACAGUUUUCCAUUUAAGGCAAGACUCUACAUGUGAAUUUUAUAGAGAUCACAAUCAGUUUUUACUUGAUUGUCAAAUGCUGAUAUGUUUUUAUUUGUUUAUAUAAAUGAGGCAUCUUCUAAAUAAAUGUAAUUUUUGUACAUUAUAAAAUAAAUAAAAAACACAUCUUUGGGAUGGUGAUAUAUAUAUAUACUUUACAGUGAAAAUACUCAGAAACAAAAUAGCUGGGAAAUCAUUCCUUUAUUAUUUAAUUAUGAAAAGACCAUGGGGUGUUCUGAUUUAUUUUAUGUCAUUUUUAAGUAUAGAAUCUAUCAUUUUAUACUUCAUUUAAAAAAAAUAAAAAAUCUAUCUGUAAUAUGCUUCUAAUUAAAGAUAGGAAUAACAUGAACAUGGAAAAACUCUUAAAUGAAGUCAUAAACAAAUCCUUUUGGUUCUGAACAAAGAAAACGGCACAAUGAACAAUGUAUACAAUAAUGUAUAUAUAAUUUAUAAAUGUAUUAUUAAAUGUUACGCAUGUAUUUAGAGACCAUAUGACCUUCACAGAAAGUGUUACAAAAAUAAAUAAAUAAAAAUAAAGAGACG